rnacentral:rRNA from 1 species
ACAAAAAUGUAAUUCCAACCAGGAAUUGCCUCAGUAACGGCGAGUGAAGCGGCCAACAGCUCAAAUUUGAAAUCUGGCGCAAGCCCGAGUGUAAUUUGCAGAGGAUGUUUCGGGUGAAGCCACGGUCCAAGUCCCUUGGAACAGGACGUCAUAGAGGGUGAGAACCCCGUACCUGGCCGUCGGUACCCCCCGCUGUGAAACUCCUUCGACGAGUCGAGUUGUUUGGGAAUGCAGCUCUAAAUUGGUGGUAAAUUCCAUCUAAAGCUAAAUACCGGCCAGAGACCGAUAGCGCACAAGUAGAGUGAUCGAAAGAUGAAAAGCACUUUGAAAAGAGAGUUAAAAAGUACGUGAAAUUGUUGAAAGGGAAGCGCUUGCGGCCAGACUUGCCCGCGGUUGCUCAGCCCGCCUUUUGGCGGGUGCACUCUUCCGCGGUCAGGCCAGCAUCGGUUUGGGCGGCCGGAUAAAGGCGUCGGGAACGUGGCCUCCCCUCGGGGAGGUGUUAUAGCCCGGCGCGCAAUGCGGCCAGCCCGGACCGAGGUUCGCGCUUUGCUAGGAUGCUGGCGUAAUGGCCGUAAGCGGCCCGUCUUGAAACACGGACCAAGGAGUCUAACAUCUAUGCGAGUGUUUGGGUGUCAAACCCGUGCGCGUAAUGAAAGUGAACGGAGGUGGGAACCGCAAGGUGCACCAUCGACCGAUCCUGAUGUCUUCGGAAGGAUUUGAGUAAGAGCAUAGCUGUUGGGACCCGAAAGAUGGUGAACUAUGCGUGAAUAGGGUGAAGCCAGAGGAAACUCUGGUGGAGGCUCGCAGCGGUUCUGACGUGCAAAUCGAUCGUCAAAUUUGCGUAUAGGGGGCGAAAGACUAAUCGAACCAUUUGCAAACAGCAAUACUAGAUGGUCAAAGGGCGGAGAGCCUUAGUCCCCACGGGGGCCACACUGCCAAACUGCGGGGGAAACGCCCACAGCCGGACGCAACCGCCCCCCCCCGCCGCGAGGUGGGAGGGGCACCCCGUUUACUCGGGGGCAUGGUAACAGCGCGCCCGGCGGGUCGAUCCGCAGCCGUCCCCCGAUCCGUCCGGGGGGUGGUUCACAGACUAGACGGCGGUUGGGCGCGGCGAGCGCUUAAGAUAAUAAGUCGAUCCAGCCCCUCAAGGGCCG